rnacentral:rRNA from 1 species
CCUACGGGGGGCAGCAGUGGGGAAUAUUGGACAAUGGGCGAAAGCCUGAUCCAGCAAUGCCGCGUGUGUGAAGAAGGUCUUCGGAUUGUAAAGCACUUUCGACGGGGACGAUGAUGACGGUACCCGUAGAAGAAGCCCCGGCUAACUUCGUGCCAGCAGCCGCGGUAAUACGAAGGGGGCUAGCGUUGCUCGGAAUGACUGGGCGUAAAGGGCGCGUAGGCAGUUUACGCAGUCAGAUGUGAAAUCCCCGGGCUCAACCUGGGAACUGCAUUUGAGACGCAUAGACUAGAGGUCGAGAGCGGGUUGUGGAAUUCCCAGUGUAGAGGUGAAAUUCGUAGAUAUUGGGAAGAACACCGGUGGCGAAGGCGGCAACCUGGCUCGAUACUGACGCUGAGGCGCGAAAGCGUGGGGAGCAAACAGGAUUAGAUACCCCCGUAGUC